rnacentral:rRNA from 1 species
CAGUAGCCGCGGUAAUACGGAGGGUGCAAGCGUUAUCCGGAUUUAUUGGGUUUAAAGGGUCCGUAGGCGGACUUAUAAGUCAGUGGUGAAAGCCUGUCGCUUAACGAUAGAACUGCCAUUGAUACUGUAAGUCUUGAGUAUAUUUGAGGUAGCUGGAAUAAGUAGUGUAGCGGUGAAAUGCAUAGAUAUUACUUAGAACACCAAUUGCGAAGGCAGGUUACCAAGAUAUAACUGACGCUGAGGGACGAAAGCGUGGGUAGCGAACAGGAUUAGAGACCCCCGUAGUCCCUGUCUCUUAUAC